rnacentral:lncRNA from 1 species
GUUUAGAGAGGUUUAGUAACUUACCUAAGGUCACAGAGAUAGCAAGAAGCUGAACAGGGAUUUGGACUUAGAUUUGUCUCCAAAAUGUGUGGCUCCUUCACUAACACACUGUUCUACCUUACUAUUUUCUUCUUUGCUUGCUUUGAAAACAUUUGGUUUUAUGUUCACCUACAUGAAAUGCACUAAAUCUCUGGUGAUGGCAGUGUUUUACAUUUCUAACCAGAUGCAGCUGAGCAGAUCAAUGCAUGAAGUAAAUCACAAAAUAGAGAUUGAACUUAACAGGAAUGAAGCCAUUGAAGCAACUUGGACGUCGGGAAUUCACUGAAGACCAGACUAAAGAGGGGCUUGUUCUAAUAGAAAUUCAUCUAAAAAGUUGGAGAUUCUGUAGAAGAUCUGAUGAAGAGGGCCAAUCACUGAGGAAAAAUGGAUAGCAUCCUAAAACACCCACAGAAGCUCACGGAUUACUCCUGUGUUGCCUAACAACUCCAAGGAAAUUAGAACUCCUUUCCAGGAACUCUCAUGCAAGUCCUGGGAUUCAGUAUCAUGGGAUCAACUAGGUCACAUGUCCCUCACUGUGGUUAGCAGGAAGAAAAAACCCAGCUGGCUAAACCGGAGCCACAAGCUCAUUCUUGAAGCUGAGGGAGUGCGUCCACCCCCAUUUGAAUCAUAUGGACUGAUGGGGAGAUCCCCAAAGAAAACUUAAAGAACUAUUAGCAGAAGAAGAGAAAAACGAAAGUACGUCAGCUAAAAUAGCAAAGAGAUGAAUCUGCAGAAGUCCCAGGGAUACCUUGGUCAUAAGAAGUCUCAGGUACAAGUUAUCCAAGAUGGAACAGGAGUUCAAGAGCACAUCUAUUUACUGGACAAAAUAAAGCUCCAUGGUAAGACAGUUUGCAUCUGACAGUCCACUUGUGGCCAUUCCCCCACAUCCCACUCUCUCGAUGAGAACUGAGACCUUCAAUUCAGUGGUACCUGGGCUCAGGAACAGCCUGAAGGUAAGAGCUCUGCCCCACCACCUUGGACAAUGAGGACAUUUAAAGAGACUUAGUGGACCAAGCAUGAUGCAGAGGAAGAAAUAUGGGCUCAGACUUCUGUGCUGAGAAGCUGAGAAGCAGAACAAAAGGAAGGAAAUUUCCCCCAGGUUCUGAAAUAGUCAAGCUGUCACUCAAUAAGAUGAGAGAUUGGGCAGUCACAGAGAAAACAGAGAUUUGGCCAGGGAUUUUGCCCGUGGAAUCACAAUCUGGAAAUGUUUCUUUCUGGCUGCCCUGGAAGUUCACCAUUUCCAAGCUGCAUGAGAAGCUGAAUGGGCUCUUUCUCCAAUGGAUUGAUCAUUGUGCCCAAGCUAAUUACUGCCUUAAUACCCUACCUCCUGCAGAUGGCAAAUUGGGCACAGAUAAGACAAGUGGCUGGUCCAAAACCACAGGCUGAGUCAGUGGCAGGGAUGGGAGUAAGGUUGAGUAACCAGUGGCCCUUCCUUUUGUUACCCUGGCCAAGAAGCAAGCCCUGCCAGAGCAGCUGCCCUUCCCUGGUGCACUGAGAUGGGCUGGGAUGACAUAGUUGAGCCCUGCUCCACCCUCUGCUCCCUAGCUUCCCAGGUGAGCUGUGGCCUGCAGAUCUGCUGUGCUGGGAGAAUCUGCUUGCUGCAGGAUAAUAUUAGCUCACUUUUAUUGCCAUGGGCUGGGCGCCCUCCGGCAGCUUGGCUGUAAACCUUUGAUCCACUGGGCUCCAGGAGCUGCAGAUUUUGACUGUGUGCUCAGCCCUAGACUCCCCACACACUGCAUGGGGCAGGCAGAGAAAGGAGGGGCCCACAGGCAGAAAUUCAACUCCUCUGCAGCCACCUCAAAAAACAGCAGCACUCUGAGGCAGUCAGGUUAGAAGGGGAGAGGGACACUGUUUCACCAUCGUGUUCUCCAAGACCCACCAGUGAGUGUUCCCCAGACCCAGAUGCUUGUAUACCACGCUCAUGAUUUGCCCCAUAAUAACUGCAUUAUUUAUUUUGUAUUUUUAUUUAAAUUAAUUCACCAUGGAUGGUAAAACUCAAAUUUAUUUUGAAAGAAGUUUCAGAAUACUUCCACAAAUAGAAAACUAAUACCACUUGCUUUUUUGUGGGAAUUGAACAAUGAGAACACAUGGACACAGGAAGGGGAAC